ensembl:lncRNA
AGAAGAAUAACAACCGCAUUAGUUGUUUAGAGUUGUGACGAUUGCAAAAAUGGCAAAGAGGUGUGUUUUCGGCUGUUUGUCGAACAAAACCCUUUUCGGUAUCCCACGUCCACCUUGGCUACGGUCCCGCUGGCUUGAGUUUUUGCAUUUUGAAGAGGAAGGGUUAACGGUAAACUCGCGGCUGUGCUCGAGGCAUUUCACGCCCGAGUGUUUCCAGGAUUUAACCCAGCACCAAAUGGGGUUUGCCAGGGUCUUGUAUCUGAAGAACACCGCUGUUCCGUCGGUGUAAACGGUUGGCGCAUCACAAAGUAUGAAGGUAAGUGUAUCUAGAUGGCGUGCUUAUUUUAAUAAUGCAUACCACACGCGUUUUAGCCUUUACUGAUCGGGCAUUUGUCGCGUCUGUCCGACAGCCUCUGACACGGGAUGUGGGCUGCCAGUGUACCGCUCAAACCCCAAAAAAGAGCACCUCGGUUCAAGCCUCGUUCCCAACCCCUAAACCGAAACGACGUAGUAAAGCUGUUCAAGUGAAGUCUUCAGAGCAUGCUGAUAAUGUUUGCGCCCAUCUGGAAACACCGGAGCGCACAUCAACGCCAAUGAAACGGCCGCGAAUGGAAGAAAGCAUCGAGGAUUUCAACGACAGAUCCUCGAUGACCCUGACAGACCCAAAGGAUUUCACCUAAGUAUGAACCUGAAAUCACAGAAGACCAUGAAAGGUGAUUAAUUCUCUGUAGUAGUCCGUAAGACCUGUUUUUUUGAAAAGCAUAUAGUCUUGGGGGUGAUAUAAGGGGUUUGGAGUAUAGACUUUUUGUUGUUGUAUUUGUGUGUGUGUGUGUGUGUAUGUAUGUAUGUAUGUAUAUGUAUAUAUAUAUAUAAUUUUUUAUUUUUUUUAUUUAUUUAUUUAUUUUUUUUGCAUUAGACAUUGUGCCAAACAUGGAAGUCACACAGUGCUGAAUAUGAGUGACAGUGGGGGGGGGACAUUAAAUUAGAAAAAUGAUGCUCUUGGGAAAGCGCGGAUGUGGAGAGAUUCCAUACUGGACAAAAAGCAUCAUAAACCUCCUCUUCUGGUGCACAUCCUUCAAGAUGAGAAGAAGCUGUUGCAAAGUCCAUUGGAUUGCCAGUUAUGUGGAAGAUGUUCACCAUCACAACAGUGAUAUAUUCCCUGACUGCAUCCACACACCUCUAGAGGAGAAAAUGUGGCCGAAACCAGACUGUUGAGACGCUGCUGAGGCUGCUUUCGCGGGAGGCCUUCUUCAAGCCUGGACCAUUCAGGAACAUCUAAACGAAGGUCCCUAGCCACCUGUGUGAUGCUAAUUAGUAGGGAUGUGCAGCGGAGCCAGUAUCUGUAACAAUCACUAAUUUAUUUGUAUCUGAAUACGGAUAAAACCGGAAGUAUGCGGGCUUGAACUGGAAGUUAUGUCUAUGGUUUUACAGCCUUUUUCGUAGUUAUCACUGAACAAAUUUGCUGUGUUUAACUGUAAUAAUUAUUUUUUAUGAUUAGAAUAUUUAUUUAAAUGUCUUCUAACAGUCGGAGCCAUAGACACUAAAAAAAUGGACGACGCACCUUCACUCUCUUCCACUGAAGAAAAGUGAAGCCGCCAGUGUCCCAAUAGGGCGCGGAUAUAUUGUGCUGAUUUGGGACCCGAGUCUGCGCUAGUGAGCGAAGUGGAGCCGCGUCCUGCCCACACUAUACUGCCCACCUGAGUCGAUCCCAAGCACAUGCACCUGAACCUUUUUUAAUUAGCCUGACUGCUCUAAUUUUUGUCUGCCGAUUGCCGUACAAGAGGCUUGUGCUAAAAUAAGGUAAAUGCAACUCAAAUCUCCUCCUGAACAUCCCGAAAAAGUUUGUUGGAGUGAACUGAGGCACCAACGAACUUUUUCGGGAUCUUCAGGAGGAGAUUUGAGUUGACAUUUAAAUAUACACAAAUAGUAGAAUGUGUAUGAUGUUGUAUUUUAGUUGAUAUUCUUGCCAAGCUCUGAUUUCUGAGAGAUGCACGGAGAGGCAACAGCAAUGAUUGAUUUGCGCUCAUUUCAUUCAUAAAGUUUACAUUCAUUCACUUCACACUCAUUAUUGUGUAGUGACUUUAGAGUUUUAUGUAUAAUAUUGCGCUGAUCCCCUGGCUCACCUGUUAUCCAGCAAACACCAGGAGUGACCAUGCCAGCCUCAGCCAAAUAUUAUUCAGCAGAAUUAUCCGUUAUAUAGCCAUUAUCCAUGCCUUUCUGAAUAAGGUAUUCGGCUUCGGGCACAGCCCUGCUAAUUAGAGACCUGAUGUGAAGGAAUCUGUGACCAGACACUGCUUUUGUGUUUAAAAAAAAAAACACUGGUCUCUAAAUUGUGUGUGUGUGUGUGUGUGUGUGUGUGUGUGUGUGUGUGUGUGCAGGUUUCAAGUCUCUACCUCUUCAUUAUGAGGACAUGCAGCUGUGCCUGUAAGUGUGAGUUUGAGUGAGAGAAUAAAAAAAGUUUAAUGCAUUUUUUUCUUCA